GCCCUCACUGGGCCAAGCCCAACGAAACCCACGUGGCUUCCCACAGGAGAAUCCCCAAACCGUAUCUUCCCCUCUCCCCAUCUCCAUCUCCACCGCCGCCCCAACACCACCACCUUCACUGCCCGAGCUGCGGCCGAGAGCGAGGCAUGGGCGGAGGACCUUGCUGCAGCCGGGGCACGGGAAAUCAAACAGAAAUCUGGAGAUCGCCGGCGUUGGCGCCAGGCCGCCGCCAGCUAGGGUUUCGGCGCCACCGCUCCAUCCUUCCCCGACGCAUCAUCCAUCCUUCUGCCCUCCCCGAGUUCCCCGGCGCCAGGCUCUGGUUAGUACCAGGCCUACGGGAUGUUGCGCCUGUAGCUCGACCAGCGCAGCUAUGAGCUGUUGCGCAAGGGCCUCGACCAACUACGGUACCGUGCUAUCCAUCGAGAGAUUCAACCACAACGGACGUGGUUCCGGCGUCUCGCCCCGCCAGAAGAUCCACACCAACGGCGCAUCCUACCUGACGGUCUUCCAUGGUUGACAGUAACUUUAGUUCCAUUUACUGGUGUAGCUUCUGUGUUGGUGAACGACGGAGCAAGCUUUUUAGUUGCAUUGUAGAUGUACAUGCUCUAUUGCUUACUCGGUCAUUCUGUACUGCCCAUGCUCGCUGGGCCGCAUGACUCCACCACUGUGCCGCCUGCCGUACCUCUACCGCCAUACCAGCUAUUUAUAAUGAAGCAUCUGGAGGACCCUGGCAUGUAUGCGACAUGUCGCCACCACUAGGCGACAACCCUGGGUUCCGACAGGCUGCUGCAACCAGGUCGUCAACCUCCCACUCCCUCAACAAUGUGUAUUUGUCCUACGGAACCCAGGUUUUGGCAAGGAUAAUAAACCAAAAUAAGAUGGUGAAUCUAAAGACACGAAAGAGUAUGUUGAAGACUUGGAUGAUGACCAUGAGGUAUACUGAACUCUACUUACUGGCUUGAUAUGAUUGCUGAACAAUAACCUCGCUGGCACUUUUGUGAGAUUCUGCUAUGGGGAGAAGCAAUGGUUUUGAUAUGGCUGGGUUUCAGCAGAGUAAACCAGUAGUCACAAUGAGUAAUAGCAAUGGGAUCAGUACCAUGUAUGAGUUAGCUGACGCACAAUACUAGAUCGGUUGAUGGUGAUACUGAAACUCUUAGUGCUCAUCUACCUUCAUCAGCUGCUAAAAAUACCCAUAGCAAAUCAAACGAUACAAUGGCACAUGUUUCAGUAGAAUAGCCAACUACCGAAUAACCUCACUGGAGCAUCUAAAAGCUUGCAGCUGGAGUUGGUUCUUUUGGUAAAGCUAGAGGUUGGCAAUAGUCAAAGUUUGAGUAAGCAUUGUUCUUAUUAGUUCUGUGUGGUCAGAGAACAAGGAAAAGAAUUCCAAUACAGCAAGUUUUUGUAUAAAGUGAUACAAGAGCGGUAAAAAAAUCUCGAGGUGAAAAUGGAAUCGCCUCUGUAUCGAUAAGGCUAUCUUUCAGAGUUCCAUGUCUGGAAGUUGGAAGUUGGUUGUGCGUACACA